CAUGGCUUCAAAGUGGUACUUGAAAAGCGACACAUUUUCCAUUCGUACUAUGUUAGUUGUACUAGAUGCUAGAUGCAUUCAGAACAGAAAAAAACAAAAUGGAAUACCUUUGUGGUGAUGUACGGUUGUACGUGGUAUCAAUUGUAUGCAUCUUGUCGUGUUUCUUAUAAUCGAAGUGACCAUAGGCAAGCUAAGAGCUAGUGAGCGGCAGCCUUCGGCAAACGGAUAUUUUAAUGUCGACGCUUCCUGUUCACGAAGGAGCACAGCCAGAAAGUCCCACGAUAUCUCAGCGUAGCAGAGGGGAAAAAAAAGCCGCUUCCCGCUCUAACUAAAGAUGCUGGCGUUAUUUAUAUUGAAGUCAAGCGCGGCGUUUCUGGCAAUUUGAUAACAUCUCGAUGUCUUCAUCAUACAUGUCAAAUCUUCUAAUACACGAAGGUGUCGACGUCUCCCGAUGCAGUCAGCCACGCAAGGGAAUAGCGAACGAGCAAGCUGCCCUGUCUAUAGAAGUGCAGGUUGGCAGCCGGAUGCACUUCACCCUACGGAAAAUGUCUUCGCUUCCGUCUCCAUUUGCAGUCGAAUCUAGUCGUCGCAGUGGUGAGUGAGCGGCCGAACGAGCGCCUUCUCGCUCAAAUCUUUCCUGUCUUUACGUAACGAAGAACGGCGACGACUGCUUGCGGGCUGCUAAGGCCUACAGCGGUGUAACUCCAGCAUGGAAGUUCCGCUGCUGCUAGAACCACUCUCUCCAUUGCUACCUAGUGCCGCUGUCGACGAUGCCAAGAUUAUGGGAGCCACUAUAGUUGUCACGCUGCUGCUGCUACUGUUGCACGUUGUUCCUUAAAAUCUCUACGGACUCUCGGACUUUGCCCGUUACUCAUGUUUACGUAACGUGCUUCAACACAGUUUCUGGCAGCCAGCAUCAGAAAUUCUGGAAAUCGAACAAAACACCAGAGGCGUCCACGGCAACAACGACAAUCACAGUUACAUAAACCACCGCUGUCAGCGUCGCGCAUAGGCGAUCAAUACAGUAGAAACAAUAACGACGACGACAGUCAGCCGGACAAACCCAAAUCAGCUGAAGCAUUGAUAGUCAGUCCUAGCUAGAAGAAGCGUCAACUGAACGACAAUUUUCGACAACAAAAACCUGAAAGGCGAAGGUUGUGUAGUACAUGUCGUUCUCAAGACUUGAAGCAGCGAUUCCUGGUCUCUUUCAGUCACAGGCUUGGCUAUCGCAUCGACGACUAUAUAAACACAGGACACGACAUAUUCGAUGGUAAGGACCAAUUAAAAUCAAAUUACCACUUCCUGGAAGAGGCCACCGACAGUUUUGAGCAAAAGCACUUUUUAGCUAAAAAAAUAUACUUUGCUUGAAAUAAAAGUGACUGAGCUUUA